AUAGGUACCUCCCCCCGGGCCUGGGAUAGCGGCGGGAAACCGCCGGUAAUACCAGAUAACGUCCCCGGACCAAAGAUGUGAUUUCACCCGGGGAGGGGCCUAUGGCCUAUCAGCUCGUUGGCGGGGUAACGGCCCACCAAGGCUUAAACGGGUAUGGGGCGUGAGAGCGUGCCCCCACUCACUGGGACUGAGACACUGCCCAGACACCUACGGGUGGCUGCAGUCGAGAAUCUUCGGCAAUGGGCGCAAGCCUGACCGAGCGACGCCGCGUGCGGGAUGAAGGCCUUCGGGUUGUAAACCGCUGUCGUAGGGGAGGAAGGUGCCGUGAAGAACGGUGCUUGACCGAUCCUAGGAGGAAGGGCCGGCUAAUCUCGUGCCAGCAGCCGCGGUAAUACGAGAGGCCCAAACGUUAUUCGGAUUUACUGGGCUUAAAGAGUUCGUAGGCGGUGCGGUAAGUGGGGUGUGAAAGCCCUCGGCUCAACCGAGGAACUGCGCUCCAGACUACCACACUC
rnacentral:rRNA from 1 species